rnacentral:rRNA from 1 species
UACGUAGGGGGCAAGCGUUGUCCGGAAUUAUUGGGCGUAAAGCGCGUGUGGGCGGCUCGGUAAGUCUGCUGUGAAAGUCCAAGGCUCAACCUUGGAAUGCCGGUGGAUACUGUCGAGCUCGAGUCCGGAAGAGGCGAGUGGAAUUCCUGGUGUAGCGGUGAAAUGCGUAGAUAUCAGGAGGAACACCGAUGGCGAAGGCAGGUCUCUGGGCUGACACUGACGCUCAGGCACGAAAGCGUGGGGAGCAAACAGG